AAAAUUAAUUUAAAGUUAAAUUUGUUCUGGUAAUGAUUGAGAAAAAUUUGAAACCCUUUGGUAGGCCAACCUGUCUAUUUCGCUACUUCUAUUAAAUUUGAAAUAAUGCUAUAUUUGAAUGGAGGAAUUUGACCUUAUGAAUUUAGAUUUGGGCUUGGGCAAUAUUAAUUGCUCUGUUAGUUGCUUUAAUAGUCAUUAAUUAUUUUAUUAGUUAUUUGCCUUUUAGAUGUUAAUAGUUAGUUGUUAGCCGUUAGAUAUUAGUUGUUAGUAGUUAAUUAUUUAUAAUAAUUGUUAGAUUAGCUGAUAAAUGUAAAAAUAAUAAAAGUAGUCAAAAUAGUAAACCCUACUAAGUUAUUACUAAAUAGGGCUUUUGACUAAAUAAAUGAAAAUAGAUUUGAAUUUGGUUAAAAUGUAUUAGGGACAAGUUUAAAAUCUAAAAAUUUAAAAUAACAAUUUUACUUUGUUAUUUUAAAUUUAUUCCACUGCAAUUUAA
rnacentral:misc_RNA from 1 species